ACCUGGGUGGCUCAGUUGGUUAAGUGUCUGACUUUGGCUCAGGUUAUGAUCUCACGGUUCGUGGGUUCAAAGCCCCGCAUCAGGUU
rnacentral:tRNA from 1 species